rnacentral:miRNA from 1 species
ACUUGAUGGUGUUUAUGACGUCGAAUAUCGACGUCAUAAACACCAAACUUGCUGGUGUUUAUGACGUCGAUAUUCGACGUCAUAAAUACCA